rnacentral:tRNA from 1 species
UGUAUAUUGGUGUUUAUAAAUUAGCACAAAAAUUUUUGGGAUUUUAGGGAAUAAGUAAUAUUAUUAUAUACAA